rnacentral:rRNA from 1 species
CCUACGGGAGGCAGCAGUGGGGGAUAUUGCACAAUGGGGGAAACCCUGAUGCAGCGACGCCGCGUGGGUGAAGAAGCGCCUCGGCGCGUAAAGCCCUGUCAGCAGGGAAGAAAAUGACGGUACCUGAAGAAGAAGCCCCGGCUAACUAGGUGCCAGCAGCCGCGGUAAUACGUAGGGGGCAAGCGUUAUCCGGAUUUACUGGGUGUAAAGGGGGCGCAGACGGCGAUGCAAGCCAGGAGUGAAAGCCCGGGGCCCAACCCCGGGGCUGCUCUUGGAACUGCGUGGCUAGAGUGCAGGAGGGGCAGGCGGAAUUCCUGGUGUAGCGGUGAAAUGCGUAGAUAUCAGGAGGAACGCCGGUGGCGAAGGCGGCCUGCUGGACUGCAACUGACGUUGAGGCCCGAAAGCGUGGGGAGCAAACAGGAUUAGAUACCCCUGUAGUC